rnacentral:misc_RNA from 1 species
UCCGGUUUGUCACCGGCAGUCUCCCAUGAGUCCCCAACUGAAUGCUGGCAACAUGGGACAGGGGUUGCGCUCGUUGCGGGACUUAACCCAACAUCUCACGACACGAGCUGUCGACAGCCAUGCACCACCUGUACACGGCCCAAAAGGACCCGACAUCUCUGCCGGAUUUCCGUGUAUGUCAAACCCAGGUAAGGUUCUUCGCGUUGCAUCGAAUUAAUCCGCAUGCUCCGCCGCUUGUGCGGGCCCCCGUCAAUUCUUUUGAGUUUUAGCCUUGCGGCCGUACUCCCCAGGCGGAACACUUAUCGCGUUGGCUUCAGCACGGACAGAUUCGACUCCGCCCACACCUAGUGUUCAUCGUUUACGGCGUGGACUAC